rnacentral:lncRNA from 1 species
UUCUGUCCCUGGUGCCGCAAUAAGCCAGGUGUUUCUGCUACCAGUUUAGCCCUGUGGAAGGAUUUUCCAGUGUCCUUCUUAUUUGCAGUACAGUCCUCCGGGUCAAGUCUGAGCAGAUGCAUCUGAUUGGUCAAACCUAGGUUAUGUGUAUCUGAUUGGCUAACCUUGUGUCAGGUGCCUAGGCCUCACUUUAAGAGAUCCUGGGAAAGUUGUUAUCUGGAGUUGUCAGUUUCUAUUUCCCACCAAGAUGAAAAAGAUGGGGAUACUGAGGCCCAGUGUUCCUGUCAUCUAUUACUGUAACAAACUAUCAUCGAAUUCAAAUGCUUAAGACAGCAACAAUUGAAGCUUUGCGUACAAAGAAAUGUUUUGUUACACUUGACCCUUGAACAACAAGACGGGGAACCAAAGGAAGCAUCUGUAAGGACCAGCUGUACAAAUGGGUGCCUGUUCAAUGGGAUUGCUUGUCUAAACUGUGAAAUAGAAUAAUUGAUUGAAAUCGAGAGUUACUUUUGGCUAAGGAUUUGUCUAAAACACCAAAAGCAAUGGCAACAAAAGCCAAAAUUGACAAAUGAGAUCUAAUUAA